UUCAGAUCUAGCUCUGGGAUGGGGACAGGCCUGGGGGGCACUGGGGAGUAAUACACGUGUGGGCAGGAAGCAGAGGUUCAGAGUCCCGUGGGCUCUGCGGGACUGGGGUGCUAGGCACAAGGCGGGGUCAGAAGGGCCUGGGGGUCAGGGCAGGCCUGGGGGCCGCAGGACGGAUGGAGGGUGGUCAGACAGGGCUGAGGGGCAACAGAAUGUCAAGGUGGACUAUGGGGUCAUGGAGGGAUGUGGGGGCAGGCACAAUGCAGGGCUUGGAUCCAGCCUUGGGGUGAGGUCAGGGCUGAGGGUCAGCAGGGUGGGGCAGGGGGUGAUCACAGAUGGCGGGGCAGCAAGGGGCAGAGGGUGCUGGGGUAUGACACGCACAAGGAGAGGGUCAGAUCCAGCCAGGGCCUGGGGGUGGGGCAGGGCUGGCCUAGGGACAUGCCACCACCAGGGUAGAAGAGGUUGACCUGCCCCCUGUCCCAGGAUACCCCAGAGAGGGAGUGCACGUAUGACAUCCCACCCCCCAGUUCUUCACCUCCUCUCCAGUCUCCAUCUUACACACCCACGAGCAAUCUCACUCCCCAAACCACCCUCAUCCCCUGGAGUAAAGGGUGCAAGGGCACCUCAGCACCCCCAGCUGAUCCCCAUUCCAUCCUUGCCCCCUGGGAACACCACCUGGAAUGGGCCGGGCCCCUGGUUCAAGGCUGAUCCAGCAGGUAUAACAUCUGUGAGACACAAACCGCGUGCCUCAGCAGCCCCCAAGACACACUCUCGCCUUUCCAAGGCCAAACUGCCACCACAGUCGGGAAAAGAGGCCUCAAAAUGAAUAAAGAUAGGUCUUGUUCCAGCUGGAAUGAAGCAAUUCCACUGCAGUUCGUUCGGCUCAUUGCAGGCAGCAGGAGCAGGACCCACAGCGCUGCGGGCGUUGCACCCGCUCGCUCCAAGGCUGAAUCAGCUUUCCUAAAAGCAAACAAGCAGGAGAGGAUUGUUGGGAGAGGAAGUGGCCAGGCCUGUCCAAGGGGAGGCAGGCGCGGAUUAGCAAUGGGAGCGGAGGUUCCUGGAGCUCGAUAAAGGAUUUGCCAGGGCUGGGAACACAGAGGGAGCUCCGUCCCCUCCCCUUCACUGCGUGACAUCGAGCGAUUUACGACCGAACUGGAGCCGACUAGUUUGGCAAAAGAGACGUGGAGCGGAGCCGGCAGAGCAUCGUGGAAAAACUGCUCCUGCAAGGUGAUGGGGGAAAUUGUGUUAUUUUAAAAUUGCUAAUUUAUUGUACUUUGUUAAGUUGCUGCAGCAAAUGGCUCUGGGAGUGCUGCCUGCUUGUGCAAGCUGCUUUUCCUGUGCUUUAAUCUUUUUUUCUUUCAGUACAAGAGCCACUCCAGUUUCAGCUCCUGCUCUUGCUUGAUGGGGCCCUUCCUCCUCCUUCUCCAUUCAUUGCGAGGGACUGCACUGCCAGGUAUCACAAUGCCAUCAGUAUUUCCAUGUAGGCCACAGAAGAAACUUUUGCUGUCACGGAAUCACAGAAUGGUUUAUGUUGGAAAGGUCCCCAAAGGUCCUGUCCCACGCUCUACCACGGACAGGGACAUCUUCCACCAGACCAGGUUGCUCUGAGCCCCAUCCAACCCGUUCUUUUACACUUUCAGGGAUGGAGCAGCCACAACCUCUGUCAUUUCCUGAUGGUCGUUUGCUCACUGUCAUUUUCACCGAAAUCACAGACCAAUGUCCCUCUUUUCCUUCCCUCCAGCAGGACCAAAUUCCCAGGGAGAGCCUCCUGGAGAAUCCACUGCAGCCAGGAAUGUUUUUCUAGACAUCCCUUGAUGCACCACUGAGUUCCAGGCCUGUCAGAGGGCCCAUGGCAACAGCUCUGGGCUCUGCCAGGUCAGGCCAGAACAGAAGGUGGUGACAUCUGAUAAGGAACAGAUGAACUCAGGUUGCACUGUUCUCCCCCUGUGACUCCCCCUCUCCUGCCCUGCAUUCCUCUGAAAUAACUGGGGUUUCUCUUCUCACUCCCCAGUUUGGGACUGGGGCACAUCCCCUUCAGCACAUCCUGUAAAGGCAGCCCUUGUGUUUUGCAGUCCAAGUGCUACCUCAGCUCUGCUCCUGCAUGUCCAGAAGCUCACCCUCACUGUGGUCAUAUCCUUCCUGACACUCCUCUGCUGCACACUAUGGUCCUCUCCACCUCCAUCCUCUGAAGAGCUUCUCAGAACAACACUUCCAGCUUCAACUUCCUUUCCAAGAUGCCAAAAUUGCACCUCACACCAAACAUGGCAGCUGGUCCCUUUGUGGCACAGAGAGGGAAGGAAUCAACAACUUGUAACUGUAUUUCUGGCUGUAAGCAGGAAUUUUAGAGCAGCCUUUAAGGAUCCCACUUGCUGUCAGCAGAGUACAGGACACAGCUCUGAACAGAGAUGCGCCGCACAGCCCAGCCUGGUACAACACUUCCAACUGUGAUGUGCCAGCACACGUGAGAUUGGGCUCACUGGAAGAGCAAAGGUCUCUCAGGCUUGUGGAAUAUACUAACUGCAUUUUCCCAAGCAUUUCUGUACUGCCAUAAGGUCUGGAAAUCUACUGAUAUAAGGGAGACAACUGAUAUUUGAGAUUUGAACACCUCAAAGAUAACAGAUCAAUGCCUGACUCCUUCCUGAGGCCAUUCCAGAGUCUCCACCCUCCUACACAAUGGAGUUUAUCUCUGAGGUUGUUCCUGCCCCUCCCUCUCUCUACACCUUCAGGUAUCCCAUUAGGGAGGCUUUGAUACCCAAACCCAGUAGGAAGGCAUCCAGGUCACUCUGCCUUCACUGGAGCAGCAAGCCAUGCGCAGCCCCAGAGCCCUGAUCCAAGGCAAUGUGUGUCCUGCUGCUGGAGGAGGAAGGUGGCUAUGUGCAGGCACCUGGAAUUGGGCACCCACCUGCAACUGCACAGCUGCCAUGGCCCAGCUGAGGGGAAAAACAUUGCAGGUAGGAAAGGAAGAUCUCUGUGAUCCCAAAGCACACACUACUGGAAACGUUUGCUGGUUCUGCAAGCAUUUGGAACAAUGUGAUCCUCCUGAACGUGCCAGCAAGUCCCUCCCUGUCCUUGCUCACUCUUGGAUUCCCAGAAUACAAGAGGGCUUUAUUCUCAACAGGGAUUGCCCCCUGCUUUUCUUUCUCCUGCAUAAAAUGGGCAAAACUGUGGUCAGAGACAGGAUGGAGCUGAGCUGCAGGCCGUGGCACGCACCUGCAGGAGCACAUGGGAGCACAGAGAAGCACAUGGCAGCACAGAGAGGCUUGUCUCUGCCUGACCUUGGGGCAGGAGGUGCCACGUGGCAGAGCCCUGCAGAGAGGAGCUGCCAGAAGCUGACAGAUGGGUGAACAGCCGUGGCCACCCCACAGAAGGAUUUUAAGAAAGCGUGUUGCUGACGUGGUGAUGGGUGAUAGGUUGCUUAGUGAGAAUUACCGUAUAAGGAAAUACUGUGUCUUGAAGAAGUCUAUAAAACCAUCUUGUUUCUUUGAAUAAAUGAUUCUGAU